rnacentral:rRNA from 1 species
GAUGAACGCUGGCGGCGUGCCUAAUACAUGCAAGUCGAACGGAAAGGCCCUGCUCUUGCGGGGCGCUCGAGUGGCGAACGGGUGAGUAACACGCGUGUAUCCCCUCCCUGUCUUUGGGAUAACUCUAGGAAACAGCGGCUAAUAUCGGAUAGGAGCUCUUGCAGCACGUUGUGGGAUGGAAAGAUUCGGCGGUUGUGGAUCGACUCGCUGCUUAUGAGCUUGUUGGUGAGGUAGUGGCGUACGAAGGUUACGAAGGAUAGCCGGCCUGGGAGGGUGGCCGGCCACAAUAGGACUGAGAUACGGCCCAGACUCCUACGGGAGGCAGCGGUGGGAAGUAUUGCGCAGUGGGCGGGAGCCUGAUGCGGCAGCGCCGCGUGCGGGAUAACGGCCUACGAGUUGUAAACCGCUUUCGCCUGUAACGAGGCGUGAGUGACGGUAAUGGAUAAGAAAGCACCGGCUAACUACGUG